AGUUGCUAGGUCCUACAAGAGGCCCAAGGAUGCCAGUAACAAAGGUCUAUCUGGAAAGACUCAUCUAGAAAUGAUGAAAGCUGAAAUAUGUCUAGCCCUGCCUUUCUCGGCGUUGCUAAACGGCAGCUACUAAAGACUUUCGACUGAAGCUCCAUCCCUGUGUUUCCCUCCUAGGGCUGGAAUCCUGGCUUGAAUUUUCGGCUGAUUGGAUGGAACCCUGACAUUACCUAGUGCUUACCAGUUCUCUCCCCUGGGACCAAAUCCAGUGUCUGUAACCCUCCAGCCACCUGGGCUGUGCUUCUGCCCAGACAGACCUCCGAGAGAAUCCAAGGCACUCAAGCAUACUUUCUGGCUAGAAACUCCUGUUGCUAUGCAAACUACACUGAUAAUCUAACCAGGAAAUAGAGGCCACUUGAACAUCCAUUCCAGGGAUUUCAAAAUUGGGAAGAUGUUACACGGGCAACGGAGGAAUGGAGAGUCAAAUAGAGGACAGGGAGGCAACCCAGAGAAUAAUUACAGAAUGAAGCCACUAAGACCCUUGACUGGAGGGACAGAGGAAGAAGUGGUGUUACUGGUCCCUGGGCAGAAACUAAGAGCCUGACAGGACUGUGCAUGGAGAGAUGGAGCUGCUGCUGGAGUCGCUGCCCAAGACAGAAGAGAGGGAUGAAAACCGCUGGCUUCUCCCUCCUCUCAUCCUCCAGUCUCCCACCAGGCCUCCCAUUAGCCAUAUUCAGCUGGAAACCAGAUGAAGUAGGGGCUGAGAAAGGCAGCUUGCAGGGAUCAGCCACUGCAAAUACAGAACAGAGCAGGGGAGAGUGGAAGACCUGCCUGAGGGCAAACUACCCUGGAGAAGCUAAGCAGUCUUCUUUGUCACCUUCACCACUAAUCAAAGUACGGGUCCUUAGACAUACUCCAUAUUAUUAGUAUUGCUCCUUGCUUCAUUUCCACACUUUAGCCUUACACUUUGAGAUCCUUAUGCCAAUCCAUUUGCUGUGCCUUAGGGAGUUCCCAUUCAUUCAUACUACUCUGUACCCUGAACCUCUUCUCCAAACGCUCGCUCUUUCUGACUUUAAUUGAAUCAUAAAUAAUCAC